GAUGUAGAACGUAGCGAAAUGCGAUAAGUAAUGUGAAUUGCAGAAUUCAGUGAAUCAUCGAAUCUUUGAACGCACCUUGCGCCCUUUGGCCAUUCCGAAGGGCAUGCCUGUUUGAGUAUCAUGAACACCUCAACUCUUUAUGGUUUUCCAUGAUGAGCUUGGACUCUGGGGGUUUUGCUGGCUCACAGUCGGCUCCUCUAAAAUGAAUCAGCUUACUAGUGUUUGGUGGGUAUCAUGGGUGUGAUAACUAUCUACGCUUGUGGUUUUUCCACCAGGUAACCUUCAGCAGUGGAGGUUCGCUGGAGCUCAUAGAUGUCUCUCCUCAGUGAGGACAGCCCUUUGAAUGUUUGAUCUCAAAUCAGGUAGGACUACCCGCUGAACUUAAGCAUAUCAAUAAGCGGAGGA
rnacentral:misc_RNA from 1 species